GGGAUGUUAGCUUAAUUGGUAGAGUUUCUAAUUGUCAUUUAAAAGGGUUUCAGUUUAAAUCUGAAAAUUCUUA